rnacentral:rRNA from 1 species
GACGAACGCUGGCGGCGUGCCUAAUACAUGCAAGUAGAACGCAGAAGAGAGGAGCUUACUCUUCUGGGAUGAGCGGCGGACGGGUGAGUAACGCGUAGGUAACCUGCCUUGUAGAGGGGGAUAACUAUGGGAAACGAUAGCUAAUACCGCAUAAUAAUUGGUGACACAUGGCACAUAAUUGAAAGGGGCAAUUGCUCCACUACAAAGAGGACCUGCGGUGUAUUAGCUAGUAGGGGAGGGAAAGGCUCACCUAGGCGAAGGUACCUAACCGGCCUGAGAGGGUGGACGGCCACCCUGGGAAUGGGACACGGCCCAGACUCCUACCGGGGGCAGGCGUAGGGGAUCUUCGGGAAUGGGGGCAAACCUGACCGGGGCACGCCCGGUGGGUGGAUGAGGUUUUCGGGUCGUAAGGCUUUGUUUUUAGUCAAGGACGGGUGUGGUAGUUGAAAGUUCACACUGUGACGGUACCUUAUCAGAAAGCCACGGCUAACUACGUG